GUAGAGGUGGUCUUACAUGUUGUAGCUGUAGGGACUGGGGUGGGGUAGAGGUGGUCUACAUGUUGUAGCUGUAGGGAGGCUGGGUGGGGUAGAGGUGGUCUACAUGUUGUAGGGAGGCUGGGUGGGGUAGAGGUGGUCUACAUGUUGUAGGGAGGCUGGGUGGGGUAGAGGUGGUCUACAUGUUGUAGCUGUAGGGGGCUGGGUGGGGUAGAGGUGGUCUACAUGUUGUAGCUGUAGGGAGGCUGGUGGGGUA